AGAGACAGCAGUCGCCGCGGUAAUACGUAGGGUGCGAGCGUUAAUCGGAAUUACUGGGCGUAAAGCGUGCGCAGGCGGUUUUGUAAGACAGGCGUGAAAUCCCCGGGCUCAACCUGGGAAUGGCGCUUGUGACUGCAAAGCUAGAGUGCGGCAGAGGGGGAUGGAAUUCCGCGUGUAGCAGUGAAAUGCGUAGAUACGCGGAGGAACACCGAUGGCGAAGGCAAUCCCCUGGGCCUGCACUGACGCUCAUGCACGAAAGCGUGGGGAGCAAACAGGAUUAGAGACCCGCGUAGUCCCUGUCUCUUAUAA
rnacentral:rRNA from 1 species